UAUUAUUUUUGAUAUAAAUUAUUUAACUUAAGUAGUAUGUUUGUUCUUGAAACUUAAAGAAUUUGGCGGUGUUUUAAUCUCUUUAGAGGAAUCUGUCCCGUAAUCGAUAAUCCGCGAUGAACCUUACUUUUCUUAUUGGUUUAUAUACCGCCGUUUCUGUGAUCUUUUUUAGAAUAUAAAAUUUCUUUAGUUUUUAGUGGAGUUUAUUUCAGGUCAAGGUGUAGCUUAUAUUAAAGUGGUGAUGGAUUACAAUAUUUUUUAUUGUAGAUGGAUUAAAUUAGGUGUAACUACUUUUAUGAAGGUGGAUUUAAUAGUAAUUUUUUGAAGAUUGUUUUUGUGAAAGAGGCUCUAGAACAUGUACAUAUCGCCCGUCACUCUCGUUAAUUUAAAUGAG
rnacentral:rRNA from 1 species